CCCUUAGAUGUUCUGGGCCGCACGCGUGCUACACCGAGUGGAUCAGCGGGUCAGGUUGCGCGAAAGCGUUUCCUAAUCUUUAAAUCCGCUCGUGAUGGGGAUUGACGGUUGCAAUUUUCUGUCAUGAACGAGGAAUACCUUGUAAGCGCGGGUCAUCAUCCCGCGCUGAAUACGUCCCUGCCCUUUGUACACACCGCCCGUCGCUCCUACCGAUUGAGUGGUCCGGUGAGGCUUUGGGAUCUGAGCGGAAAGAGCGUUUCGCUGUUUCUGCUCGGAAAACUCAGUCGAACCUUAUCAUUUAGAGGAAGGAGAAGUCGUAACA
rnacentral:rRNA from 1 species